UGAGGAAUAUUGGUCAAUGGACGCAAGUCUGAACCAGCCAAGUCGCGUGAAGGAAGACGGCCUUAUGGGUUGUAAACUUCUUUUGUUGGGGAAUAAAGUGCGCCACGCGUGGUGUUUUGUAUGUACCCAACGAAUAAGCAUCGGCUAACUCCGUGCCAGCAGCCGCGGUAAUACGGAGGAUGCGAGCGUUAUCCGGAUUUAUUGGGUUUAAAGGGUGUGUAGGCGGUUUAUCAAGUCAGUGGUGAAAGUUCGGGGCUUAACCUCGAAAUUGCCAUUGAAACUGGUAGGCUUGAGUACAGUGGAGGUAGGCGGAAUUCGUAGUGUAGCGGUGAAAUGCUUAGAUAUUACGAAGAACUCCGAUUGCGAAGGCAGCUUACUAUACUGUAACUGACGCUGAGACACGAAGGCGUGGGUAUCAAACA
rnacentral:rRNA from 1 species